GGACAGCUGGCCGAGUGGUCGAAGGCGCUCGCCUGGAACGCGGGUAUAGGGUAACCUAUCUAGGGUUCGAAUCCCUAGCUGUCCACCA
rnacentral:tRNA from 1 species